rnacentral:lncRNA from 1 species
UUGCUUUUCCUUGGUUUCCUUCUAAGUUAUUUCUGAUUAGAGAUUCUUUAAUUUCUUUUGGUGUUCAAUUAGCCAAUGUUCUGCAGUCUCUAGCGUUUUCCAACUUCUUUUUUUUUUUUCUAUUUUUUUGGGCCUCUUUUUUUCCUUCCACAAUCCUCCAGCUUGAUGAAAGAGAUAUGGAUUUAUGGACUUCAUAUAUGAAACGAAAAACACUCAAUCUAAGGUGCUUUUUUUUUUCCUGGGAUAUUGGUUCAACUUUUCAAUUAAUUUAUCUGGUGGUCUAGAUUUUGAGAGUUUCAAUUCGAAAUUGGUUAAAGAAUGAAUUUUUCUGCGGAGAGGGAAGCAAAUGUGAGUUUUUUAGUUUUUUUAAAUCCAAAUGUAAGAUGAGAGGGGAAAGAGUGUGAGGCAUCUCAUGAUCCUUAUAGUGAAAGCAGAUGCGAUCACUAAAUAUUAGAUGUCUUUCCCAUAUCAAAACAGAUUUUAAUGCUUGCCUGCCUGCUUCCGCUGUGGCUCGCAAGUUUGGCUUUUCUGUUACAUGUCAUGCCAAUUUUCUUUUGAGACAGCCAUUCUUCUAGUUCUCUAGUUUUCUUGUUGUUUAUCAUCUCAUCACUAAAGUCUUUUGAAGCCAGUAGCCACAAAAUUAGGAGAAAAAAACUAUUUUAUUAAAAUAUUCUUUGCACCCUAACUCUUGCUUGAGAUUUCUCUUCUCUUUUUCCUUUUUAUCUAAAGGGAAGGUCCGAUUCUCUUCUAUCUUUUUUGGAAAAAAAGGAAAGGAAUAGGGGAAGGUCCAAUUCCACAUUUAUUACAGAAAGAAUAUCAUUUAUGUUUUGUCAAGACUCUAAAUAAAUUCGUUCUUCAGCGUUUCUUCAAUUUUUUUUUUUUUCUGUCGAGCACUUCAUGCUUAGCUAAUGGAGCUGUUGCUCGGCAAAUUCUGAGAACACAAGUAACAAGUUCUUUAAUCUGAAAAAUGGGGGAACUCGCAAGGAAAAGUUGGUAGUCGCUGCGAUCGCCAGAUGUUUGCAAGGUUUCAAAAGGUUUAUGACAAGUUAUAGAAUUUUGUUUUUCCUCUGUUUUCAUAGGCAUAACAUCCAUCUGAUAUCAAUGUGAGGGAUAAAACUUAUCAGGCAACCGGCAUUUCCUUUGGCCAAGCUUGGGUGUAAUAAUCAAGUGUUUUAAAUAGCAAUUCAACUUAACA